CAGUCGCCGCGGUAAUACGUAGGGUGCGAGCGUUACCCGGAUUUACUGGGCGUAAAGGGCGUGUAGGCGGCCUGGGGCGUCCCAUGUGAAAGGCCACGGCUCAACCGUGGAGGAGCGUGGGAUACGCUCAGGCUAGAGGGUGGGAGAGGGUGGUGGAAUUCCCGGAGUAGCGGUGAAAUGCGCAGAUACCGGGAGGAACGCCGAUGGCGAAGGCAGCCACCUGGUCCACUUCUGACGCUGAGGCGCGAAAGCGUGGGGAGCAAACCGGAUUAGAUACCCGCGUAGUCCCUGUCUCUUAUAC
rnacentral:rRNA from 1 species